rnacentral:lncRNA from 1 species
UUAGAAAACGUUAAAAUUUGUGAAAACCACUUUCUACCCAGAAAAAAGACCUACUUAUUGGUAAUCAACGUGCACAGUGGUCCAUCAUUGAGGAGCUCUAUGCUACAGAUGGUGAAGCCGGACGUGCAAGAACCACAACCCUGACGGAUAAACACAUUAGACCAACUUCUUAUGACAAGAUGAAGG